rnacentral:rRNA from 1 species
GAACAUAAGAGUAUGAUCCUGGCUCAGGACGAACGCUGGCGGCGUGCUUAACACAUGCAAGUCGAGCGGGGAUGUUCGGAGUGCUUGCACACUGAACAUUCUAGCGGCGGACGGGUGAGUAACGCGUGAACAAUCUGUCCCAUACAGGGGGAUAACAGAUGGAAACAUCUGCUAAUACCGCAUAAGACCACGAUGCCACAUGGCGAUGAGGUAAAAGGAGCAAUCCGGUAUGGGGUGAGUUCGCGUCCGAUUAGCUAGUUGGCGAGGUAACGGCCCACCAAGGCGACGAUCGGUAGCCGACCUGAGAGGGUGAUCGGCCACACUGGAACUGAGAGACGGUCCAGACUCCU